UUGUUUUAUCCGUUUAUUUUAAAAAGGUACAUGGUACAAAAUAUACAGAAUUUAAUUAUGUUCAUUUAAAAAUAUAUAUAUAAUAUAGCAUUGGCAUUAUAAAAGAUGAGACAAAGGACAACUAGUUUGAGUUUAUACUUGUUUACUACAAAAGAUAGUUAUAUUUAAGUCAAACUCCAUUCAAAGGCUUGGAUAUAGACAAUACCGUAUUUUGAUUUCAACUUCAAGUACAGAAUUAUUUAAAAUGAAAGUUGUAAAUGAAUUUCACUAUUUUUGAAAAUUUGAACAUGAACGUGUAUUGCUAUUAAAUGCUUUGAAAUGAACAAAUAUUGUUGUUUUUGCUUUCCAUGAAAUGUGCAAUGAACGUGCAAGUCUUC
rnacentral:lncRNA from 1 species